rnacentral:misc_RNA from 1 species
UUUCGGAUUAUUCGUUUGUACGGUAUUAAAGAAAUGUCUGCCGACGAGGAGAUAGAUCAUUUGGUUCGCAGUCUUGAGCUGAUUCCUCACCCAGAGGGCGGUUACUUUGGUGAACAGUACCGCACCGACCGACAAGUCACCUUCAUACAGCCCAACAAGUUUGAUGGGCCAAGAGAUGGUGGCAGCUGCAUUUACUAUCUUUUAAAGUCGGGCAAAUAUGUCUCCUUCCAUCUUCCCCUGUUUGACGAGAUCUUCCUCUGGCAUGCAGGAGGACCAGCGAAGGUCUACCAUCAACUUUCUACAGUACUCUGAGUUGCAUUUUAAUUUCGGAUCAAUUUUUUAAAAACUUUUUUUUUUAAAUUACUUUUAGAUAUACACAAUAGACAACGAAGGUAAAUUAACCCAAAGUAUUCUGGGAGAUACAUUGAAAAAUGGUGAUUAUCGUUACCAAGUAACGGUGCGACACGAUACGUGGUAUGCUGUGGAACCAAUGGAACAAACUCAGUAUGUUCUCUUUGGAGCUGUUGUUAUUCCAGGCUGGGCAUUACAAGACUGGACUCAGGGAAAGAGGGCUGACCUGUUGGAGAAGUUUCCACAGCACGGAGAACUCAUUAAGAGGCUGUGUAAAGAAUGAGGCUCAUUAACAUACAACUCGAAGAGGUGCCAACAAAGAUUUGUUCCUGUUCAGCCACAAAAAAGUGCCAUUAAAGACUUGUCCAGACAUUUAUUUUUUUAAAACAUAUAUACAAACAAUGGAAAGUCCUAAUAUUUUAGCACUAUGAAGCAAACAAUGUAUUAUAAAUGUCUAUACAAAUAAAUGCAUAGAUUUC